rnacentral:rRNA from 1 species
CCAGACUCCUACGGGAGGCAGCAGUGGGGAAUAUUGCACAAUGGGGGAAACCCUGAUGCAGCGACGCCGCGUGAGUGAAGAAGUAUUUCGGUAUGUAAAGCUCUAUCAGCAGGGAAGAAGAAGGACGGUACCUGAGUAAGAAGCCCCUGCUAACUACGUGCCAGCAGCCGCGGUAAUACGUAGGGGGCAAGCGUUAUCCGGAUUUACUGGGUGUAAAGGGAGCGUAGACGGCGGCGCAAGUCUGGAGUGAAAGCCCGGGGCCCAACCCCGGGACUGCUCUGGAAACUGCGGCGCUGGAGUACGGGAGGGGCAGGCGGAAUUCCUGGUGUAGCGGUGAAAUGCGUAGAUAUCAGGAGGAACACCGGUGGCGAAGGCGGCCUGCUGGACUGCAACUGACGUUGAGGCCCGAAAGCGUGGGGAGCAAACAGGAUUAGAUACCCCAGUA